UUACAUUUAUCUAUAAUUAAAUUUUGAGAUGUUUUUUUAACUUUAUUAUUUCAUUUGUUUAUACACAACUCUAUUCAUUUUUUUUAUUCAUGUGUAUUAUGUUUCUUCAUUUACAUUGUUGAUAGACAUGAACAAAAACUAAUAACUAUAAAAUGCCUGAAAUAUUUAUUUGUAUUCACUCGUGUUCUUUUAUUUAAUUUAUUACUUUUUCAUGUAUUUUUAUGUUUCUUCAUUUGCAUUAUUGAUAGAUCUAAAAAACAAAAAUAAAUUAGUAACUAUGAG
rnacentral:lncRNA from 1 species